rnacentral:rRNA from 1 species
GGAAGCAGCUUGCUGCUUUGCUGACGAGUGGCGGACGGGUGAGUAAUGUCUGGGAAACUGCCUGAUGGAGGGGGAUAACUACUGGAAACGGUAGCUAAUACCGCAUAACGUCGCAAGACCAAAGAGGGGGACCUUCGGGCCUCUUGCCAUCGGAUGUGCCCAGAUGGGAUUAGCUUGUUGGUGGGGUAACGGCUCACCAAGGCGACGAUCCCUAGCUGGUCUGAGAGGAUGACCAGCCACACUGGAACUGAGACACGGUCCAGACUCCUACGGGAGGCAGCAGUGGGGAAUAUUGCACAAUGGGCGCAAGCCUGAUGCAGCCAUGCCGCGUGUAUGAAGAAGGCCUUCGGGUUGUAAAGUACUUUCAGCGGGGAGGAAGGGAGUAAAGUUAAUACCUUUACUCAUUGACGUUACCCGCAGAAGAAGCACCGGCUAACUCCGUGCCAGCAGCCGCGGUAAUACGGAGGGUGCAAGCGUUAAUCGGAAUUACUGGGCGUAAAGCGCACGC